CUAAACCGAUUUUAUCACAGACAAAAUACAAUGUUUUCACUGUUUCACACUGUCUGCAUUAUGUUUGCACUGUUUGUUGCAAUGGUUUUUUCCCAAGAUUUCAAUGGCUGGAAUAAUGGAAAUUGGCCACCUAAUGGUUUUCCGAAUGGAUGGAAUGGAAAUGAUCUGCCCCAAAAUUGGAAUAAUCAAAACAACGGAUGGUCAUUCGGCAGAUAGUGUAGAGAAUUCAGAUUGAGAUAUAUAUGCAUCAAUAUUUUUGUAGCAACACCUACAUGCAUAUUUUGGUGCUGAUGUGCUUAUUCAAUUAGAAAGUUUUACUUAUCUACGUUUUAUAGACAAUAUAUAUGCAUAAUUUCUAUGUGAUUGUUGUAAUGUAAAUAUUAAAAUGAAAAACUUACUGUGAUCAAAUACAAUAAUUUAAUUAAUUGUCCGUCUAUCCAGAAGCAAGUUUUCAUGUCUUAGAAAAUAAAGAACAGAAAGGUUGAAGAUAAUCGCAA